ACGUAGGGUGCGAGCGUUAAUCGGAAUUACUGGGCGUAAAGCGUGCGCAGGCGGUUCGCUAAGACAGGUGUGAAAUCCCCGGGCUUAACCUGGGAAUGGCGUUUGAGACUGGUGAGCUGGAGUACGGUAGAGGGGGGUGGAAUUUCAGGUGUAGCGGUGAAAUGCGUAGAGAUCUGGAGGAAUACCAGUGGCGAAGGCAGCCCCCUGGGCAGAUACUGACACUCAUGCGCGAAAGCGUGGGGAGCAAACAG
rnacentral:rRNA from 1 species